rnacentral:rRNA from 1 species
GAUGAACGCUAGCGGGAGGCCUAAUACAUGCAAGUCGAGCGGUAGGUGGCUUCGGCCACUGAGAGCGGCGCACGGGUGAGUAACGCGUACGCAACCUGCCCCCUACCGGGGCAUAGUCACGGGAAACUGUGAGUAAUUCCGUAUGAGGAUGGGAGGCCGCAUGGCCUUCUUUCCAAAGUCUUCGGGCGGUAGGGGAUGGGCGUGCGUCUGAUUAGGUAGUUGGUAGGGUAACGGCCUACCAAGCCGACGAUCAGUAGGGGGCGUGAGAGCGUGGCCCCCCACACGGGUACUGAGACACGGACCCGACUCCUACGGGAGGCAGCAGUAAGGAAUAUUGGUCAAUGGUGGGAACACUGAACCAGCCAUCCCGCGUGCAGGAUGAAGGCCCUCUGGGUUGUAAACUGCUUUUAACAGGGAAGAAACGAGUGGGCUUGCCUGCUCCUGACGGUACCUGUGGAAUAAGCACCGGCUAACUCCGUGCCAGCCGCCGCUGUAAGAC